GACGAACGCUGGCGGCGUGCUUAACACAUGCAAGUCGAACGGAAAGGCCCUGCUUUUGUGGGGUGCUCGAGUGGCGAACGGGUGAGUAACACGUGAGUAACCUGCCCUUGACUUUGGGAUAACUUCAGGAAACUGGGGCUAAUACCGGAUAGGAGCUCCUGCUGCAUGGUGGGGGUUGGAAAGUUUCGGCGGUUGGGGAUGGACUCGCGGCUUAUCAGCUUGUUGGUGGGGUAGUGGCUUACCAAGGCUUUAACGGGUAGCCGGCCUGCGAGGGUGACCGGCCACAUUGGGACUGAGAUACGGCCCAGACUCCUACGGGAGGCAGCAGUGGGGAAUAUUGCACAAUGGGCGGAAGCCUGAUGCAGCAACGCCGCGUGCGGGAUGACGGCCUUCGGGUUGUAAACCGCUUUCGCCUGUGACGAAGCGUGAGUGACGGUAAUGGGUAAAGAAGCACCGGCUAACUACGUG
rnacentral:rRNA from 1 species